UGCCCUCCCAAAACGGGCUGCAAUCACUCCAAAUUCUAAAUUUUUGUGACUCAUUUGUCAAAGAACUUAUUGCUCAUGACUAGUCACGGUUUGGAAACAGCUGCUGUGUUUUGGGCUCUGACAGUAACUCACGAGUUUUGGCUUUUCUGCCCUGUGUAGAAGUAUUAUUAUUGAGUAUUAUUUUUAUUCCAAAGAUGGAGCAUCUCUCACAAUCCUGAGUAAGUUGUUUUGAGUUAUUCUGCUGUUCUUACCCCGGUAAUUUCUCUCCUUUGACUCUGUGUGAAAAGCUGCUCCCCCUGGAACAAAGGAGUCACGUUGGCUUUACUCAUCAAAAAUUGCAUAUGUAUAAAAUCUCAGUGUUGUCCUGAGCCUGAAAUCCCUCCCCACGUAGGACUUGUACCACACUGGAACCCAUUGCCUGCAGCCUGGCAACCGCCUCCGUUGCCAUGGGAACAGCUCCACUAUCCUUCCAUGGAGAACCUCAAGAAUUCCCGUUUUCGGAGCUUUUAGAACACCUCCAGUCCUGGCUUCUUUCAUUCACUCACUCCCUCCCAUCCAUGAGAUCUUCCCCUCCCAGUUUAGAGAGUUACUCAGCACUUCUGGGACUCCUGAGGAGUUGGCUGAAGGGAAGUCACACAGCACUGUGAGGCACAGCUUUAUCUGGGAUGCUGGUGCUGCCCUUGGGUUUAUUUCCUGUGCAGAUAAGUGUCUGAGAAACCUCCGACCUCAAGUGUUGAACCCCCAAGUGAUGUAACCUGGGUUGGGGGAGAAGCAGCUUCCUGGUGGUGAGUUUGCUGUGGGAUGGUGUGUGAUGGGGUGUCACACCUGCCCUUGGAUCCCCCUCCCCAGCAUGUGCAACCCCAUUCCCUGUUGGAGAGCAAGCCCAGUGGUCCUGGUGUUUGUGCAGGAGCUGUGGAGGAUCAUGAGGGUCGCUGGGUUUGCCCCUCCCCUGGGCACUUUUUUUGCACCCAAUUGGCACAGCUCUGUUAAGCACAAGUAGAUUUUCUCCUGACAGUUAUUUAUUGAGAGCUUAUUGUUUCACUUAUGGGAAGAUUGCACUGGAAUAACAUGAAUUUUGAGCAAGAUGGUCUUAGAAACACGUUCCUGGGGGUAUUUUCUUUGCUUGGUUUAUACAAAUGUCUAAACAAGGCUGGGUUUUGCUUUUAUGCAGCUAGAAAUUCUAGGCACAGGUCCAUGGGGGAAGGAAGGGAGAGGCUGAGGGGAUCUCAGGGUGGUGAGGCCCUGGCACAGGUUGGGCAGAGAAGCUGUGGCUGCCCCUGGAUCCCUGGAAGUGUCCAAGGCCAGGCUGGACGGGGCUUGGAGCAACCUGGGCUAGUGGAAGGUGUCCCUGCCCAUGGCAGGGGGUGGGUCUGGAUGAGCUUUAAGGCCUUUUCCAACCCACACCAUUCCAUGAUUCCGUGAUCUGAUGGCACAACCAGAUCUCAGUUAUCCAAAUCCUGCACCUCUAAACAGAAAGAGCUGGAAGGGCCGGGAGAGGAGCCCUGGUGUGGAAAGACUGGAUGAUGUGGCAUCAGGUUUCCUGCACAUCAGGUGCCAGUCAGAGCCUCACCACGGGGGAAACAGCAGCUGAAGAUUUAGGUGAGGAAUAACAACAACGAAGAAAACAAAACAAGAGUGUGAGAAAACCGAGGAGAAGAAAAAAAAAAAUUUCUCAGCUGCAAAAUACUCAGUAACACUCCCAGUCAGCAUCGGCUCGGUGCAUCCCAAAAUCCUGAGACACUGGGAAGUGAGAGCUUGGAGAAUCCCGAAUCACUGACUGGGGUUUUGAUUUAUUCUUUGCAGCCAGACAGUGCUCUCUCCCUCUCUCCCUCUCUCCCUGUCUCCCUGUCUCACUCCCUCCCCUCCCUCUCCGGUGUGCGGGCACAGCAGCCACCUCUCCCCCUCCACCAACCAAAGCGGGGGGGAAGGGGGGCUGCUCCUGCAAUAAAAGUGUGGGAAGCUCAUGGCUGCGGAGUAAUGCAGACAAAGCACGAGGGAGAGGGACCCAGAGGGCCGGAGCCCCCGGAGAUGUGACCCACCCCGCGGGAGGACCCGUCCGCAGCCUCCGAGCCGCGUUCGUGCUGCCUCACGGACAGACAGCGGGCUCGGAGCCCCCCGGGGAUUUCUCCGGCGCUAAUUCCCUCCGCACAAAGCCCAGCCUGCCGGGCUGCUCUCCAGCAGCAACCUUUGCAUCCCUCCAGCUCCCCCCGAGCCGCAGGAGCUGCUCCCCCCGGCUGCUCCCGAGCCAAUGUCACCUGUACCCAAUGAAGCAGACCCCGAGGUGCCACGCAUGGAUCCCAGGAUUCUUAUUUUCCUUCUCUACGUGAUGAUCCUCCACGAGCUGGUGAGUGGCUGGAUGGAGUACCAGAAGCAGAUGGCCAAGCCAAAGAAGCAGGCGGGUCCAGUUUGGUCCUCGAGCAAUGCCACCAGAUCCAGCCCCUCCAGCUUCUCCAGGCCCCUGGUCCACUCUGUGCGCAGGGAGAGGUACAGGGACUGGAGGAAACCGGGAAGGAUCAUCCGGAAGGCGUGAGGAGGGAUCUGUUGGGAGCGUGGGGAGAGAUGGCUGAGCCGGAGGAGCCACCCCUCAGGGUCUGCACCACCUCCCCAGCCCACACAGGAGCAUCCCCCAGGCACUGCACCCUGCAGCUUUCCUCACUGAGAACACACCACUGAGGAGGAAUGAGCCCCUUCCUCCUGGGAAUUCGUCUCUGCAGGGUGAGGAGCUGCACUGGAGACACCUCAGCCAGCAGCAGGAUCACUCCAAGUGGCACCUUUGCCACCCAACACAGUGAAGUGACUUCUCUGCUUCCCAAAGGGUUGAGUGGAUGGAGAGCAGAUUUCCUGGGGGGAAGAGUGAAAUUUGCUCCUGCAGGGGCAGCCCUGGGAAGCCUCCAAAUGGUUUCAGGCUCCUCUUCUCCUGCUCCAGGACUGCGUGGCCAGUAAGCCUCAGCUCCCAAACUGACUGGAAAAUCUCUGGUGUCCAGUCUGUCACCACUCCCAGGAGAACUCACCUCUACUGGGACACACAGAGCUCAUGGCACUUUGGGAAUGCUGGCUCCCCAUUAAGUCUCAUGCACUGAGAAUCCCUAAAUUUUUUUCUGCUUUCCUUCACGCUUGUUAAAUGAGUUACUCUGGGCUGGAAGGGGGAAAACGCCCUGAACCAGUGACUCAGAGUUAUGCCACCAAAUGCAAUUUACUGCAAUGACCUUGUAAUUAGCUUUCCUUGGAGCAUUCCCAGCAGUUGAGCCAAAUAAAUGUAAGAGCCACUUUCUAAUGAGCAGAUAGAUGGGGAAGGAAUACAGUAUUGCUCUUUUUGAGCCUGCAGUUUGGGCAUAAAGUUCAAUUUUAGAGGCAAAAUUCUGCUGUUGCAUCCUGCACCUCACAUAGGCAGGAUGGGAAUCUUGGAGCACUGGAGGGAUUCUGACUCUGGGCUCUCACAGCAGCUGUCCAUGGCAAAACUGCUCCUUAUUUGCUGAACAUAAUGUUUGGCUCAAACACAGCCUGUUUUUCUCGUUGCCAACCAUUUAUAAACCUGACUCAGGCUCACAGACACAUUAUCCAGGAGCAGAUAGGGAAGGGAGUCGGGAUAGAUCAUGCAUUCAUUAUCCAGAAGUAGCCACCAGAUACAUUUGCACAUUUGUCUGCUGCUCAGUUGUUUGCAAAUUGUUCCUGUUGGUUGACACUGUGUUUGUUCAGUCACCCAGGGCUGGAGUCACCUGAGCUCAGCACCCAGACCCAGGUGCUGCAAAGAGGGGAAUGAGAGGGGGUGUGAAGUGACUCCUCACAAGGAAGCUGCCUGAACUCUGCUCUUGAAGUUCCCAAUCCUCUGUCCCAAGUAGGAUAAGUAACUCAGAUGUAAACCUCUACUUUCACAUGGGGGAGAUGAAGUUUCUGCCUUGAAGUUGAUGCCUCGUGUUCAGAUGUGUUUGAAAAAGGAGCAAGAAGUGGCAGUUAAUGUUUUCUGCACGUUUCAAAGCAUAAACUCCCUGCAAAGUUGUGCCUCAGCCCUGUGACACACUGUGACACUGUGGCUGUCCCUGAGGCCUCCACGGCCUGUCCUGAUCCCUGCAGGUACAGCCACAGGUGACAGCAACAGAGGGAGAAGGUGGCAGGAGGAAGAACAUUCAGAAAGUGUUUCUGGGGGCUGGGGGACUUUGCUGCCCUGGAGUUGAGUGUGAGGGCAGACGCGUAGCUGGAUAUUCUCCCUGCUCUUCUGCCAGAGCCUGUGUGAGUUUGCUGGGAGCACUUCCUGUGGAAAAAGGGUUUAAAUUAAUUACUCCAGUGGGACAGGAGGGGACUGGCCUCACUGACACGCUGGGCUCCUCUGUCCUCAGUGGGACAGACAGACCUGAGCAGGGACAGAUGGACCUGACUGGGCAGGAAGGGUGAAGGGCCAGGACUGCUGUGCUCUGCUGAUCACAUGCUGGGUUUAUCCCUGUAAAUAUCAUCGUGUUUCCUUCCAAUAAACUCUUUUCCACA